GUGAAUCAUCGAAUUUUUGAACGCAAAUUGCGCUUCCUGGUAUCCCGGGAAGUAUGCCUGUUUGAGGGUCAGUAUUAAUAAAAAUCGGCGUGUUGCUUCUUUGUGACGCUCCGGAGUUUGGGUCAUCUUAAUAUCCUUUAGGUUUUAAGAGCCUUAAAUUUGAUUUUUUUUGCGCAUUUUAGUUUUACUUAAUUUUUUUUUUUUUUUCGUUUGUUUUAUUCUUCAAAU
rnacentral:misc_RNA from 1 species